rnacentral:rRNA from 1 species
AAUAGAUACCCUGGUAGUCCACGCCGUAAACGAUGGAUACUAGGUGUAACAGGCAUCGACCCCUGUUGUGUCGUAGCAAACGCAAUAAGUAUCCCGCCUGGGGAGUAUGGCCGCAAGGUUGAAACUCAAAGGAAUUGACGGGGGCCCGCACAAGCGGUGGAGGAUGUGGUUUAAUUCGACGCAACGCGAAGAACCUUACCAAGACUUGACAUCCAUAGAAUUUUUUAGAAAUAGAGAAGUGCCUGAAAGGGAACUAUGAGACAGGUGGUGCAUGGCUGUCGUCAGCUCGUGUCGUGAGAUGUUGGGUUAAGUCCCGCAACGAGCGCAACCCUCGACGUUAGUUACCAGCAUUAAGUUGGGGACUCUAGCGUGACUGCCGGUGACAAACCGGAGGAAGGUGAGGACGACGUCAAGUCAUCAUGCCCCUUACGUCUUGGGCUACACACGUCCUACAAUGGUAUAGACAAAGAGCAGCGAGCUAGCAAUGGUAAGCGAAUCUCAUAAACUAUAUCUCAGUUCGGAUUGUAGG